rnacentral:rRNA from 1 species
CAGCAGCCGCGGGAAUACAGAGGGUGCAAGCGUUAAUCGGAAUUACUGGGCGUAAAGCGCGCGUAGGUGGUUUGUUAAGUUGGAUGUGAAAUCCCCGGGCUCAACCUGGGAACUGCAUCCAAAACUGGCAAGCUAGAGUAUGGUAGAGGGUGGUGGAAUUUCCUGUGUAGCGGUGAAAUGCGUAGAUAUAGGAAGGAACACCAGUGGCGAAGGCGACCACCUGGACUGAUACUGACACUGAGGUGCGAAAGCGUGGGGAGCAAACAGGAUUAGAUACCCCGGUAGUCCCAGUCUCUUAUAC